UACGGGGGGGAGCAAGCGUUGUUCGGAUUUACUGGGCGUAAAGGGCGCGUAGGCGGUCGUGACAAGUCACUUGUGAAAUCUCCGGGCUUAACUCGGAACGGUCAAGUGAUACUGUCGGACUAGAGUACAGAAGGGGCAACUGGAAUUCUCGGUGUAGCGGUGAAAUGUGUAGAGAUCGGGAGGAACACCGGUGGCGAAGGCGGGUCUCUGGGCAAUUCCUGACGCUGAGGCGCGAAAGCGUGGGGAUCAAACAGG
rnacentral:rRNA from 1 species